GACGAACGCUGGCGGCGUGCCUAAUACAUGCAAGUAGAACGCACAGUUUAUACCGUAGCUUGCUACACCAUAAACUGUGAGUUGCGAACGGGUGAGUAACGCGUAGGUAACCUGCCUGGUAGCGGGGGAUAACUAUUGGAAACGAUAGCUAAUACCGCAUAAUAUUAAUUAUUGCAUGAUAAUUGAUUGAAAGAUGCAAUUGCAUCACUACCAGAUGGACCUGCGUUGUAUUAGCUAGUAGGUGAGGUAACGGCUCACCUAGGCGACGAUACAUAGCCGACCUGAGAGGGUGAUCGGCCACACUGGGACUGAGACACGGCCCAGACUCCUACGGGAGGCAGCAGUAGGGAAUCUUCGGCAAUAGACGAAAGUCUGACCGAGCAACGCCGCGUGAGGGAAGAAGGUUUUCGGAUCGUAAAGAUCUGUUGUAAGAGAAGAACGGGUGUGAGAGUGGAAAGUUCACACUGUGACGGUAUCUUACCAGAAAGGGACGGCUAACUACGUG
rnacentral:rRNA from 1 species